rnacentral:tRNA from 1 species
GCCUGGGUGGCUCAGUCGGUUGAGCAACCAUCUUUGGCUCAGGUCAGGAUCUCACAGCUCAUGGGUUCAAUCCCCAUGUCAGGCU